rnacentral:rRNA from 1 species
UCGUAACAAGGUCUCCGUAGGUGAACCUGCGGAGGGAUCAUUACACAAAUAUGAAGGCGGGCUGGAACCUCUCGGGGUUACAGCCUUGCUGAAUUAUUCACCCUUGUCUUUUGCGUACUUCUUGUUUCCUUGGUGGGUUCGCCCACCACUAGGACAAACAUAAACCUUUUGUAAUUGCAAUCAGCGUCAGUAACAAAUUAAUAAUUACAACUUUCAACAACGGAUCUCUUGGUUCUGGCAUCGAUGAAGAACGCAGCGAAAUGCGACAAGUAGUGUGAAUUGCAGAAUUCAGUGAAUCAUCGAAUCUUUGAACGCACAUUGCGCCCUUUGGUAUUCCAAAGGGCAUGCCUGUUCGAGCGUCAUUUGUACCCUCAAGCUUUGCUUGGUGUUGGGCGUCUUGUCUCUAGCUUUGCUGGAGACUCGCCUUAAAGUAAUUGGCAGCCGGCCUACUGGUUUCGGAGCGCAGCACAAGUCGCACUCUCUAUCAGCAAAGGUCUAGCAUCCAUUAAGCCUUUUUUUCAACUUUUGACCUCGGAUCAGGUAGGGAUACCCGCUGAACUUAAGCAUA